rnacentral:rRNA from 1 species
UACGAAGGGGGCUAGCGUUGCUCGGAAUUACUGGGCGUAAAGCGCACGUAGGCGGCUUUCUAAGUCGGGGGUGAAAUCCUGGAGCUCAACUCCAGAACUGCCUUCGAUACUGGAGAGCUUGGGUCCGGGAGAGGUGAGUGGAACUGCGAGUGUAGAGGUGAAAUUCGUAGAUAUUCGCAAGAACACCAGUGGCGAAGGCGGCUCACUGGCCCGGUACUGACGCUGAGGUGCGAAAGCGUGGGGAGCAAACAGG